rnacentral:rRNA from 1 species
AUACGUAGGGUGCGAGCGUUAUCCGGAUUUAUUGGGUUUAAAGGGAGCGUAGGCGGGAGCUUAAGUCAGCGGUUAAAUGGUGCGGCUCAACCGUGCCCUGCCGUUGAAACUGGGGUUCUUGAGAGUGCAAGAGGCGGAUGGGAUUCAUGGGGUCGCGGGGGAAUGCUUAGAUAUCAUGAAGAACUCCGAUUGCGAAGGCAGUCCGCUGGGGCACGUCUGACGCUGAUGCUCGAAGGUGCGGGAAUCAAACAGGAUUAGAUACCCUGGUAGUCCGCACGGUAAACGAUGAUUACCCGCUGUCGGCGGUAGACAGUCGGCGGCCAAGCGAAAGCGAUAAGUAGUCCACCUGGGGAGUACGCCGGCAACGGUGAAACUCAAAUGAAUUGACGGGG